AGACUAAGGGAUUUUCUCUCAUCAGUAUGUUUUUGUUUUUGUUUUUUCAUUUUCAGUUUUAAAAUGUCACUUUGUUGGGAACAAUUUUCAUAGAGUGAUCAGAAGUGAAGAUAAACAUAACCACGAUAUCACCACUUAAUCAGAUCAGUCCUCGCGGGAGGGCGGGGGAGGGGGCUCCGUGUUAGGCUUCUGCCCAUUUUAUCUCAGUCCCAGGCAGCCCUCUCCGCCCACCCCCGAAUCAUGAGGAACUACAUCUCCCAGGCUCCCUUGCAGUCCGCUUCCUAGUAGGUUGGGCCAGUUGCAGACCCUGACAGAAGGUCGGAAGGUGGAGGAAGGAAGAGGCCGCAGCAUCUGUCUCCCUCCGCUUUGGGAAGCAGCUCCGCUGUAUCUUCGAGUCUCCAGCCCCUCGGAAGUUCCCGUUUCCGCUGGGUGGUCCUGGAUCCUGGACUCUGGUGCAGCUUAAUUCCCCUCCCCUGGACCAGGAGGCAGAACUGGCUUUGUGACUCACCUCUGUCUAGGAGAAUGUGGCAAAUGUGACAAUGUGUGACUUCUGAUGCUAUGUCAUAAAAGGUUUUUUUUUUUAAGUAAUCUCUACACCCAACAUGGUGGGGCUCCAACUUACAACCCCAAGAUCAAGACUCACGUGCUGUACGGACUGAGCCAGCCAGGCGCUCCUAGAAAUGUAAUUCUUAGCCCUGUCGCUCAUUAAGAGGCAGGCUGUCCCCAAACCACCGCGAGAUGGCCACCAGCAGCCUCAGGCUUCCAGCCGACUUUUGCAUCAACCACACGGGAAGAACAAUGAACCAAAUGAAAAAUUACCUUUUCUCAGAGGUCCAGGAGGAACACCUGAGUGGCUCAGUCGGUUAAGCGUCUGACUUCGGCUCGGGUCAUGAUCUCGCGGUUCGUGGGUUCGAGCCCCACGUCGGGCUCUGGGCUGACAGCCCGGAGCCUGCUUCGGAUUCUGUGUCUCCCUCUCUCCCUCUGCCCCUCCCCACUCCUGUUCUGUCUCUCUCUCAAAAAUAAACAUUAAAAAAAAAGGAAAAAGAAAAGAGGUCCAGGAAGAGUGUCAUGGAAUGUCACUGGACUGUCUGAAGUCAGUCCCUGCCCAUUCCUGAGGCAACCACUAGGCCCACGGGUUGGCUAAUGUGGGCUGGUCAGGCCUGGGUUUCUCCUUCCCAGGAACCGGGGGGGGGGGGGGGGGGGGGGGCGGUUCCCCUGAAGAAGACCAGAAAAAUGGGGUGGAUCCUAGGAGGGGAAACAAUACAUGUGCCCCCUCCAGUCACUGGCCUGUGAGCUCCUCGAAGGCAGGGACUUCUGCCCUAAGUUAUCUUUGCACUCCCAGAGCCCCUGCUGGGUGACAAAGCUAGCCAAUGGCUGCGAGCUUCCCGACUGGAUAAAUCCCUUUUCCCUCUUCUGUCCCACUCUCUCCUGGAGUCUGGUUCAUCUCCCAGAAACAAGAAGUUCUGUGAAGAGAUAAAGAUUCCUACGAAGUGACCUGGGCUUUCAGAGGAACGUACUGUUUUUACCCCAGGCACAACAAGAAGGCGGAAAUACCUCCGAAGUUCCUCAGUUAGUGAAUGGAUAAGCAAAAGGUGGUCUACCCACACAAUGGAAUAUGAUUCAGCCAUGAAAAGGAAUAAUGCAGUGACCCACACUAUAAAGCAGGUGAACUUGAAGACAUUAUGCGCAGUGAAAGAAGCCGGUCACAAAAGACCAGGUAUUAUACGAUUCCGGUUACGUGAAAUAUUCACAAUAGGUAAAUCCAUAGAGACAGAGAGUAGAUCAGUGGUUACCUCGGGCUGUGAUGCGGAGUAGGGAGGAAACGGGGAGUCACUGCUAAUACAGUUUCUGUUUAAAACAAUGAAAAUGUUCUGGAAUGAGAUGGGGUGAUGGUUGCAUGUAAAUACACUGAAGAUCACCGAAUUGUACCUUUAAAUGUGUGGAUUUGAAGACAUGUGAACUAUAUUUCAAUAAAGUUGUUUAAAACAAA